rnacentral:rRNA from 1 species
GUGGGGGAUAUUGCACAAUGGGGGAAACCCUGAUGCAGCGACGCCGCGUGAGGGAAGAAGGUCUUCGGAUUGUAAACCUCUGUCUUCGGGGACGAACACAAUGACGGUACUCGAGGAGGAAGCCACGGCUAACUACGUGCCAGCAGCCGCGGUAAAACGUAGGUGGCAAGCGUUGUCCGGAAUUACUGGGUGUAAAGGGAGCGCAGGCGGAGCUGCAAGUUGGGUGUCAAAUCUACGGGCUUAACCCGUAUCCGCACUCAAAACUGUAGUUCUUGAGUAGUGCAGAGGUAGGCGGAAUUCCCGGUGUAGCGGUGGAAUGCGUAGAUAUCGGGAGGAACACCAGUGGCGAAGGCGGCCUACUGGGCACCAACUGACGCUGAGGCUCGAAAGUAUGGGUAGCAAACAGGA